rnacentral:rRNA from 1 species
AGUGAACGCUGGCGGUAGGCCUAACACAUGCAAGUCGAACGGCAGCACAGUAAGAGCUUGCUCUUACGGGUGGCGAGUGGCGGACGGGUGAGGAAUACAUCGGAAUCUACUUUUUCGUGGGGGAUAACGUAGGGAAACUUACGCUAAUACCGCAUACGACCUACGGGUGAAAGCAGGGGAUCUUCGGACCUUGCGCGAUUGAAUGAGCCGAUGUCGGAUUAGCUAGUUGGCGGGGUAAAGGCCCACCAAGGCGACGAUCCGUAGCUGGUCUGAGAGGAUGAUCGGCGAAACUGGAACUAAGAAAAGGUCCAAACUCCUACAGAAGGCAGAAGUGGGGAAUAUUGAACAAGGGGAGCAAGCCUGAUCAAGCCAUAACGAGUGGGUGAAGAAGGACUUCGGGUUGUAAAGCCCUUUUGUUGGGAAAGAAAAGCGGAAGGUUAAUACCCCGCUGUUCUGACGGUACCCAAAGAAUAAGCACCGGCUAACUUCGUG